AGACGUGUUUCUGACAUCUGUCGCCCUAUGGAUUGCCAGUUGAUAGACCUGGUUGUCUUGAUAAGUAUUAGCUGACUCCCCACCAGUUUAUUUGCACCGCUUGUGAAGCAAUAAGCUUGGUUGAAAAAGGGCACCUUCCAAGUAGGGAAGGAUACUUUUUAGGUCAAAUUAUAGAAAUUUACAUGUAUCCCUGUUAGCACUUCCAACACCAACAAAAGAAUAGACAGGAAAAAUGACCCUGCCAGCUAAUUCUGGGAAGAUUGCCUGAGUUCAGGAGUUUGACAC
rnacentral:sRNA from 1 species